rnacentral:rRNA from 1 species
UUCUAGAGCUAAUACGUGCGCAAAUCCCGACUUCUGGAAGGGACGUAUUUAUUAAAUAAAAGGCCGACCGGGCUCUGCCCGACUCGCGGUGAAUCAUAAUAACUUCACAAAUCGCACGGCCUUGUGCUGGCGAUGUUUCAUUCAAAUUUCUGCCCUAUCAACUUUCGAUGGUAGGAUAGGGGCCUACCAUGGGGGGUAACGGGUGACGGAGGAUUAGGGUUCAAUUCCGGAAAGGGACCCUAAAA